rnacentral:misc_RNA from 1 species
GAUGAAGAACGUAGCGAAAUGCGAUACGUAAUGUGAAUUGCAAAUUCAGUGAAUCAUCGAGUCUUUGAACGCAGAUUGCGCCCCCUGGUAUUCCGGGGGGCAUGCCUGUCCGAGCGUCAUUGCUGCCCUCAAGCACGGCUUGUGUGUUGGGCCCCGUCCUCCGAUCCCGGGGGACGGGCCCGAAAGGCAGCGGCGGCACCGCGUCCGGUCCUCGAGCGUAUGGGGCUUUGUCACCCACUCUGUAGGCCCGGCCGGCGCUUGCCGAUCAACCCAAAUUUUUAUCCAGGUUGACCUCGGAUCAGGUAGGGAUACCCGCUGAACUUAAGCAUAUCAAUAAGCGGAGGA